rnacentral:rRNA from 1 species
UGCUACGGCCAUGUGGCACAUUGGAUACACCAGAUUGCUUGAUUUCGGAAGUUAAGCAACGUGCAGUCCAGACAGUUCUUGGCUGGGAGACCAACCUAGGAAUACCGAAUGCUGUAGCCU